rnacentral:rRNA from 1 species
UACAGAGGGUGCAAGCGUUGUUCGGAAUUAUUGGGCGUAAAGGGAGUGUAGGCGGUCUGGAAAGUCUUCUGUGAAAUCUACGGGCUUAGCCUGUAACGUGCAGAGGAAACUACCAGGCUUGAGUGUCGGAGAGGAUAGGGGAAUUCCCGGUGUAGAGGUGAAAUUCGUAGAGAUCGGGAGGAACACCAGUGGCGAAGGCGCCUAUCUGGCUGACAACUGACGCUGAGACUCGAAAGCAUGGGGAGCAAACAGG